GACGAACGCUGGCGGCGUGCUUAACACAUGCAAGUCGAACGGAAAGGCCCUUCGGGGUACUCGAGUGGCGAACGGGUGAGUAACACGUGGGUGAUCUGCCCUGCACUUUGGGAUAAGCCUGGGAAACUGGGUCUAAUACCGAAUAGGACCACGCGCUUCAUGGUGUGUGGUGGAAAGCUUUUGCGGUGUGGGAUGGGCCCGCGGCCUAUCAGCUUGUUGGUGGGGUAAUGGCCUACCAAGGCGACGACGGGCAGCCGGCCUGAGAGGGUGACCGGCCACACUGGGACUGAGAUACGGCCCAGACUCCUACGGGAGGCAGCAGUGGGGAAUAUUGCACAAUGGGCGCAAGCCUGAUGCAGCGACGCCGCGUGAGGGAUGACGGCCUUCGGGUUGUAAACCUCUUUCAAUAGGGACGAAGCGCAAGUGACGGUACCUAUAGAAGAAGCACCGGCCAACUACGUGCCAGCAGCCGCGGUAAUACGUAGGGUGCGAGCGUUGUCCGGAAUUACUGGGCGUAAAGAGCUCGUAGGUGGUUUGUCGCGUUGUUCGUGAAAACUCACAGCUUAACUGUGGGCGUGCGGGCGAUACGGGCAGACUAGAGUACUGCAGGGGAGACUGGAAUUCCUGGUGUAGCGGUGGAAUGCGCAGAUAUCAGGAGGAACACCGGUGGCGAAGGCGGGUCUCUGGGCAGUAACUGACGCUGAGGAGCGAAAGCGUGGGGAGCGAACAGGAUUAGAUACCCUGGUAGUCCACGCCGUAAACGGUGGGUACUAGGUGUGGGUUCCUCCUUGGGAUCCGUGCCGUAGCUAACGCAUUAAGUACCCCGCCUGGGGAGUACGGCCGCAAGGCUAAAACUCAAAGGAAUUGACGGGGGCCCGCACAAGCGGCGGAGCAUGUGGAUUAAUUCGAUGCAACGCGAAGAACCUUACCUGGGUUUGACAUGCACAGGACGCCGGCAGAGAUGUCGGUUCCCUUGUGGCCUGUGUGCAGGUGGUGCAUGGCUGUCGUCAGCUCGUGUCGUGAGAUGUUGGGUUAAGUCCCGCAACGAGCGCAACCCUUGUCCUAUGUUGCCAGCGGGUUAUGCCGGGGACUCGUAGGAGACUGCCGGGGUCAACUCGGAGGAAGGUGGGGAUGACGUCAAGUCAUCAUGCCCCUUAUGUCCAGGGCUUCACACAUGCUACAAUGGCCGGUACAAAGGGCUGCGAUGCCGUGAGGUGGAGCGAAUCCUUUCAAAGCCGGUCUCAGUUCGGAUCGGGGUCUGCAACUCGACCCCGUGAAGUCGGAGUCGCUAGUAAUCGCAGAUCAGCAACGCUGCGGUGAAUACGUUCCCGGGCCUUGUACACACCGCCCGUCACGUCAUGAAAGUCGGUAACACCCGAAGCCGGUGGCCUAACCCUUGUGGAGGGAGCCGUCGAAGGUGGGAUCGGCGAUUGGGACG
rnacentral:rRNA from 1 species